AGGACAAUGUGGGAAAGACCUCUCCUCCAGGAGAGCAUAACAGGCCCGGUUAUGCUCUCCUGGAGGAGAGGUCUUUCCCACAGAAAAGCUAGUGAU